rnacentral:tRNA from 1 species
GGUGCGGUAGUUCAGUUGGUUAGAAUAUCGGUUUGUCACGCCGAAGGUGGCGAGUUCGAAACUCGCCCGCACCGCAA